GAUGAACGCUGGCGGCGUGCCUAAUACAUGCAAGUAGAACGCUGAAGGAGGAGCUUGCUCUUCUGGAUGAGUUGCGAACGGGUGAGUAACGCGUAGGUAACCUGCCUGGUAGCGGGGGAUAACUAUUGGAAACGAUAGCUAAUACCGCAUGACAACAGUUAUUGCAUGAUAACUGUUUAAAAGGGGCAACUGCUCCACUACCAGAUGGACCUGCGUUGUAUUAGCUAGUUGGUGAGGUAACGGCUCACCAAGGCGUCGAUACAUAGCCGACCUGAGAGGGUGAUCGGCCACACUGGGACUGAGACACGGCCUAGACUCCUACGGGAGGCAGCAGUAGGGAAUCUUCGGCAAUGGACGGAAGUCUGACCGAGCAACGCCGCGUGAGUGAAGAAGGUUUUCGGAUCGUAAAGCUCUGUUGUAAGAGAAGAACGAGUGUGAGAGUGGAAAGUUCACACUGUGACGGUAUCUUACCAGAAAGGGACGGCUAACUACGUG
rnacentral:rRNA from 1 species